UUCAUAUUUCAAAUCUAGUUGUUAUUUUUAUAGGUGAAGAUGCUUCACUUAGUUUGCCACAAUCGUUGAGAAAUAUUUCCUUUGGAGAAGAGGUCCCAGCAUCAUCAACAAAUGUGUUUCAUCCUCCCGGAGAAAAAACUUCCGAAGCUUUAUUGAAGAAGAAUGGUUGAAUGUGACUGUCCAACAAUUACUGGCUUAGUUCAAAGAAAGCCUGGUCGUGGUGCCACGACUUCUUCUGUUAGCUGUUCUGACAAAAUAGCACGCUGGAAUGUUGUUGGAAUACAAGGUGCAAUGCUUUCCUACCUGCUCCAACCUGUUUAUAUUUCUUCAGUCACCAUUGGGCAAUCA